AUUGAACGCUGGCGGCAUGCUUUACACAUGCAAGUCGAACGGUAACAGGUCUUCGGAUGCUGACGAGUGGCGAACGGGUGCGUAAUACAUCGGAACGUGCCUAGUAGUGGGGGCUAACUACUCGAAAGAGUAGCUAAUACCGCAUGCGAUCUACGGUUUAAAGCCGGAGACCUUCGGGCCUUGUGCUACUAUAGCGGCUGAUGGCAGAUUAGGUAGUUGGUGGGGUAAAGGCUUACCAAGCCUGCGAUCUGUAGCUGGUCUGAGAGGACGACCAGCCACACUGGGACUGAGACACGGCCCAGACUCCUACGGGAGGCAGCAGUGGGGAAUUUUGGACAAUGGGCGAAAGCCUGAUCCAGCAAUGCCGCGUGAAGGAUGAAGGCCCUCGGGUUGUAAACUGCUUUUGUACGGAACGAAAAGCCUGGGGCUAAUAUCCCCGGGUCAUGACGGUACCGAAAGAAUAAGCACCGGCUAACUACGUG
rnacentral:rRNA from 1 species